GAUGAACGCUGGCGGCGUGCCUAAUACAUGCAAGUCGAACGAAGAACUUUUGUAGCAAUACGAGAGUUUCUUAGUGGCGAACGGGUGAGUAACGCGUUGGUGACCUGCCCCAAAGUGGGGGAUAACAGAUCGAAAGGUCUGCUAAUACCUCAUGUGGUCAUCGGGAUUAGAAACCGAUGUCUAAAGGAGUAAUCCGCUUUGGGAGGGGCCUGCGUCCCAUCAGCUAGUUGGUAGGGUAAUGGCCUACCAAGGCGUCGACGGGUAAGGGGCCUGAGAGGGUGGCCCCUCACAAUGGAACUGAAACACGGUCCAUACACCUACGGGUGGCAG
rnacentral:rRNA from 1 species